UACGUAGGGGGCUAGCGUUGUCCGGAAUCAUUGGGCGUAAAGCGCGUGUAGGCGGUUCGGUAAGUCCGCUGUGAAAGUCGGGGGCUCAACCCUCGGAGCCGGUGGAUACUGUCGGGCUAGAGUACGGAAGAGGCGAGUGGAAUUCCUGGUGUAGCGGUGAAAUGCGCAGAUAUCAGGAGGAACACCAAUUGCGAAGGCAGCUCGCUGGGACGUUACUGACGCUGAGACGCGAAAGCGUGGGGAGCAAACAGG
rnacentral:rRNA from 1 species